rnacentral:rRNA from 1 species
UCCUACGGGGGGCAGCAGUGAGGAAUAUUGGUCAAUGGGCGCGAGCCUGAACCAGCCAAGUCGCGUGAGGGAAGACGGUCCUAUAGAUUGUAAACCUCUUUUGUCGGGGAGCAAAAGACGCCACGUGUGGCGUUCCGAGAGUACCCGAAGAAAAAGCAUCGGCUAACUCCGUGCCAGCAGCUGCGGUAAUACGGAGGAUGCGAGCGUUAUCCGGAUUUAUUGGGUUUAAAGGGUGCGCAGGCGGAAGAUCAAGUCAGCGGUAAAAUUGAGAGGCUCAACCUCUUCGAGCCGUUGAAACUGGUUUU